rnacentral:lncRNA from 1 species
UAAUUUGACUGGUCAGUUCCUCUGGGUUGUAACUUUUAGAAUUGACCACAUCAGCUAAAUUAACCUUCUCGCCACAAAAGAUAUUUCUACGAUAGCUAAGUAAACAAAAAGCUGUUGAUUAUGCUAUUCAGAUGCAAAAAAGUCAUGUACCUAUGAUACUGAUCUAUAAACAAUAACAACCAGAACAAUACCUUGUCUUAAUAUCCUUGACAUAUCUACUAGGUGCUAUACUAACAACUGAGCAUACAAAAUAACCAUGUUAGAACAACCCUAGGAGCUUCAUUGUUACUUGUUCUUCUACAUGUCCAGUUCAAAAAUAGUAAAUUACAAAUAUCAACUUUUUUGGUAAUGCUGCUGUUAGUGCCAUUGCAUUCUUUGCUAGCAUCCAAAAAUACAAUUUUUUGCACGUUUGUGAUUUCCAACAUAACGAUCAUAAUCAGCAGAAUUACAUGGAGAAAUAAAAAAUCUUCAUGCAAUCAAAUGAACCCAGUAAUCAAAUAUUCUCUAAGGAGAAGAAAAACCCAAAAUCCCCAAAAAUUAGGUCAAAGUCUAGAAGAAUACACUAACCUUAAAAUCCCCAAAUUGAAGCCAUUGAAGUGCAAAUUCGAGAGAAAUUGAAGUGUAAUUUUUGUCUACUUUCCAAAACAAAUUAAGAGCUAAAAUUCGAUCCCACUUUCCAACACUAAGAGAAAUUGAAGUGCAACAUUAGCCCUAAUCGCAAAUUGAAGAGCAAAUUCGAUAUGAAAAUAAAGUCCGAAUCAGAUAUGGUUUAUAUUUAACUCAUCAAAAUGCAAUUCUACAUUCGGUCUAAAGCUCACUACUGUUGGUACGAAGCUUACCAAAACAACCUAAUCACAGAUGUGUUAGUCUGAAUAUCCCUGGCAUCAGUAAAUCGAUUUUUGAAGCGGCACCAGUAAAUCCCAUAGAGCUCAGCCCCGACAGCUCACUACCAGAUCGUCUCCACAAGAUUGAAUUGUUGUAGCGGUUGUAGCAAUUAUAGCGAUUGAUUGUAGCAAUUGUUGUAGCGAUUGUAGCAAAUAAAAGGUUUAAGAGUGUAGUAGUUUUAAGCUAAGAGAACCAGCCGUUUCCAAAGUUUUAUUAAAAUGUUUUUUUUUUUUUUUUUUUUUUUUGGCAUACUUGAUGAAAUUUCUCGUGAAAAUUGAGGGAAUAAAAUAAGUAUUGC